UAGAGUUUGAUCCUGGCUCAGAUUGAACGCUGGCGGCAGGCUUAACACAUGCAAGUCGAACGAUGACUCUCUAGCUUGCUAGAGAUGAUUAGUGGCGGACGGGUGAGUAACAUUUAGGAAUCUGCCUAGUAGUGGGGGAUAGCUCGGGGAAACUCGAAUUAAUACCGCAUACGACCUACGGGUGAAAGGGGGCGCAAGCUCUUGCUAUUAGAUGAGCCUAAAUCAGAUUAGCUAGUUGGUGGGGUAAAGGCCCACCGAGGCGACGAUCUGUAACUGGUCUGAGAGGAUGAUCAGUCACACCGGAACUGAGACACGGUCCGGACUCCUACGGGAGGCAGCAGUGGGGAAUAUUGGACAAUGGGGGCAACCCUGAUCCAGCCAUGCCGCGUGUGUGAAGAAGGCCUUUUGGUUGUAAAGCACUUUAAGCAGGGAGGAGAGGCUAAUGGUUAAUACCCAUUAGAUUAGACGUUACCUGCAGAAUAAGCACCGGCUAACUCUGUGCCAGCAGCCGCGGUAAUACAGAGGGUGCGAGCGUUAAUCGGAAUUACUGGGCGUAAAGCGAGUGUAGGUGGCUCAUUAAGUCACAUGUGAAAUCCCCGGGCUUAACCUGGGAACUGCAUGUGAUACUGGUGGUGCUAGAAUAUGUGAGAGGGAAGUAGAAUUCCAGGUGUAGCGGUGUAAUGCGUAGAGAUCUGGAGGAAUACCGAUGGCGAAGGCAGCUUCCUGGCAUAAUAUGACACUGAGAUCGAG
rnacentral:rRNA from 1 species